UACGAAGGGGGCUAGCGUUGCUCGGAAUUACUGGGCGUAAAGCGCACGUAGGCGGCUUCUUAAGUCGGUGGUGAAAUCCUGGAGCUCAACUCCAGAACUGCCUUCGAUACUGAGAGGCUCGAGUCCGGGAGAGGUGAGUGGAACUGCGAGUGUAGAGGUGAAAUUCGUAGAUAUUCGCAAGAACACCAGUGGCGAAGGCGGCUCACUGGCCCGGUACUGACGCUGAGGUGCGAAAGCGUGGGGAGCAAACAGG
rnacentral:rRNA from 1 species